GCUGGUGUAGCCCAAACGGCAGAGGCAACCGACUUAAAAUCGGUACAGUGGGGGUUCGAGUCCCUCCACCAGCACCA
rnacentral:tRNA from 1 species